UACGGAGGGUGCAAGCGUUGAUCGGAAUUACUGGGCGUAAAGCGCACGCAGGCGGCUAAAUAAGUUAGGUGUGAAAGCCCCCGGCUCAACUUGGGGAUUGCAUUUAAAACUGGACAGCUAGAGGUUUGUAGAGGGGGGUAGAAUUCCAAGUGUAGGGGUGAAAUGCGUAGAGAUCUGGAGGAAUGCCGGUGGUGAAGACGGCCUCCUGGACAAAGACUGACGCUGAGGUGCGAAAGCUUGGGGAUCAAACAGG
rnacentral:rRNA from 1 species